rnacentral:lncRNA from 1 species
GGGCGGAUGUAUAGCUCUUCGUAGCAUUUGGCGUGUAAUCGGUUGGAUUAGCUCUUUGGAGCACUUGGAGUCCUAUCGGUUGGAUUAGCUCUUAUGAGCGUUUGGCGUGUUAUCGGUUGGAUUAACUCUUAUGAACAUUUGGCCUGUUUUGAUUUGAUUACUUGUGUACUCGUAUCUGUAAGUUGUUCAUCAUGUUGUAAAUAUUUG